AAGAUGUUGGACUAUGAGGAGAUUUCCUAGCCUAGUUCCGGAUGUUCAGUCUGUGUUGUACAUAGGCCUACUUACAGUGUCUGAUGGCAGCCCAUUUGUCCAAUCAUUUAUCAUUUUGAUAUCCUCAAUCCUAUACAGCAUGCAUUGCAAGACAUUUGUUACCUGGAUUAUAGUGUUCUUAGUUUGAUCUUUGAAACAGAUUUUCUUAGUUUUAUAGUAAGUGAUGACUUAAUUUGGACAAUGAAACUGACAAUACUAUAUUAAACACCUGCUUAUCAUGGUGCGAAGUGAUAAGACACACCGUUACUGUGAAAUGUAUCACCGUAGUAUAACUUAAGCACCUCAUUAUGAUACUUGCACCUGAAGAAGAAAAUUAUGUGUUGGGCCUCCUAUAUUAAAUUUGUCACGCUUCGCUGCUGUAUGCUGCUUUUCAUUACUUACCGGUAUAAACUUUUUUCCUCACUGCAGAUUUGUAAGUUGAAAGUUUGCAAGACUGGCAUUCCCUGCAGGAACAGCGGACAGAUCCACCAAUGAUGAUUUUUUUUCUAAAGAUGCCAAAUCUUCAGAUACAUUCAAUUUGACCUGUAUGGUCACAGGCCUCUACUCAAAAAACACUAAGAUCAGAAUCCUGUGGAAGGACUGGCCUGUAGGGAAAGGUCAUGAAAGAUUGCCCAAUCAUGAUGGAACCUACGGGAUCAAACUGAGUGCGUACGCACACAAAUCAAAGAUAAAUGAUUAUCGAUGUGAGGUGAAUCACGGGGACCAGAAAUACACACUUGUAGUCGAAUGGCCUAAAGAAUUAGAUCUGGACAAGACAAUACAAGAAUUUGGAGAUUCUCAAAAGUCUGAUGGAUAUCCCCCCUCGAUUGGAAAGUGGUUUGCAUGUGUGCUGCUGGCGCUGGGCCUGGUGCUGGGGCUCGUGGUGCUCUUGGGAUACAUUUGUGUGAUACAUUUUGUGUGAAAAGAUUACUGGUAAGUUUAAAAUAAAUUUAAAUUCGAAUCUAAUAUAAAUUCUUACUGCAUAGUUUGAUUUGUAUUUAAACAGUUAACUGAUUAAAUCCUUUGCUUGUGAUCUUCAUGACCAUAUCAAUUUAUAUUUGGUUUGGUGUGUGAUUCUCAAAUUCACUUACCCAGGUUUCGGCAUGUAUUGAGUGUUAUGAACACAAAUCUAAAACGUGAGAAUUCACAAUUUCAAACACAUUGACACUUUCUGGCUAGACAUCAACAAGAUUAAAAAUUGUAACGCAAUCUCCGCAAAUGAAUGUGGCUCAUCAAUGCCAGUAUCAACAGACACUGCAGUGGAAAACAAGCCUCUCCUGAAUGUUGUGUUUUCUCACUCAUUUAUCUCUUUCCUUUUGCAGAGAAGGAAGAUACAGAUUCUGACUCUGGAUUUCGUGAAAAAAGCAGCCAUUCCAUGGAUCGGAAUAGCCUAGAUUUUGAUAAGGAAGGUACAGAUUCUGACUCUGGAUGUAGUGAAGAAGGCAGCCGUUCCAUAGGGAAGAAUCCCCUACAUUUUGGUAUGUAUUGAGUGUUAUGUACACAAAUCUAAAACGUGAGCCAGAAGGAGAAGUAUAGUCCUACAUCAUAAUUUGUCGUAAUACAUCCAUUAGUGGUUAUUAGACUCUUCUUUCCUUUUGUAAGGAAACUGGACAAUAAUAGCACGCUGUCCAACUAUUGGUUUGAAGAGGAUUAAAGCAGCAUAACGGAACAAUUGCUAAUCGC